GAUGAACGCUGGCGGCGUGCCUAAUACAUGCCAGUCGAGCGAACGGACGAGAAGCUUGCUUCUCUGAUGUUAGCGGCGGACGGGUGAGUAACACGUGGAUAACCUACCUAUAAGACUGGGAUAACUUCGGGAAACCGGAGCUAAUACCGGAUAAUAUUUUGAACCGCAUGGUUCAAAAGUGAAAGACGGUCUUGCUGUCACUUAUAGAUGGAUCCGCGCUGCAUUAGCUAGUUGGUAAGGUAACGGCUUACCAAGGCAACGAUGCAUAGCCGACCUGAGAGGGUGAUCGGCCACACUGGAACUGAGACACGGUCCAGACUCCUACGGGAGGCAGCAGUAGGGAAUCUUCCGCAAUGGGCGAAAGCCUGACGGAGCAACGCCGCGUGAGUGAUGAAGGUCUUCGGAUCGUAAAACUCUGUUAUUAGGGAAGAACAUAUGUGUAAGUAACUGUGCACAUCUGGACGGUACCUAAUCAGAAAGCCACGGCUAACUACGU
rnacentral:rRNA from 1 species